rnacentral:lncRNA from 1 species
UCCCUUCUUUCUCCAAACGCUGUAGUUUUACCAAGUGUACCAGGCACAAUAUGGAGACCAGUUCCUAGAAGAUGUUGUGAAGAGAAUCAGGAUCAACUCCACCUCUCUGGAGAUUCUGGUGGACCUGGUGUUCGACCCGAACUCCCCGCAACCUGUCCCCCAGAGCGCUGAUAUUGUGAGGACGCUGAGACAAGCUGUGUGGAGUUACGUGACGGACCUUUUCUCCAUCACAGUGAUAAACGAGAUCCCACUUCUGGUUGAGCCACCCACUCUGAACAUCACCGAGUCUAACAGCACCACCACCACCAACGUCUCCACCACCAGCAUCUCCACCACCACUCCCACCCAGCCUGCGAUGACCACCACAGAGCCCCCAAGCACCACUUCCACAACUUCGAGUCCACCUACAAACACGUCUGAAGCGGCCGCCCUCGUCCCGGCGACUCUCUUCUACGUCCAGUACGCCUUCAACGUGACGCUUUUGCCGGUUCUGAACACCUCGCACAUCCUGGAGUUCACCGAACAGACGGACGUGAUCGCUUCUGUGUUCAACCAAGUAUACCAAUCUGAGUUUGGAGAGCAGUUUUUGAGCGGAGUCGUGGUCGAUAUCAGGAUCAACUCCAGCUCUGUAGAAAUUGACAUGGAGCUGCUGUUCGCCGAACUCACUCCCAAACCCAUCCCUGUGGGCGAGGACAUUGUGGGGACACUGAAACAAGUUCUGCAGGUGCUGCUGAUGGACAUCAUUUCCAUUAACUUCCUGAGUGCACCACAAAUCACAUCUAAUGUGGAGUUCAUCACCAAUGAAACUUUUCAUCCUGAUCUGAAGAACUCCAGUUCAGCUGCUUUCAAGACCAGAUCGUCCCUCAUUAAGAAGGAGCUCGAACCAUUCUUCAUGGCCGACUUCUCUCCAGGCUUCAUCUGUUUGUCUGUACGGAAUUUGAGGUAAACGUCUCGCGUUCCACGA